rnacentral:lncRNA from 1 species
UAAUUAGUUUAAUGCAGUAGGUCACAUUAAAGAAAAGAGGACCGGGAUUGUAGAAAAAUUGUGUAUAGUAAGUACCAAAUUCAAUUAGUCGUUUGGCAUGAUUUAUGAUAAACGUUCACAGAAACCAAACGACGCAAAUAACUAUAACACUAAAGAGAACUAUACACAAAACAUUGUUGGAAAGAAAUAAAGUAAAACUAAUUCUGACAUACGAAAAAGGAGACAACACAGUUAAUUCCUAACACGAACAGUGCAAACUCAAUCAAUUGAUAUAAUAAAGCUGUUCUAUUGUUAAUUAAACUAUUUAACAGUUUUAUAAGAAAAUUGUCAACUGCAGGAUCCUAAUUUAGCAUCAACCACAUGCAC